rnacentral:rRNA from 1 species
GAGGAAAGAGGGGGGCGGGCGGAACACAUGCAAGUCGAACGGAAAGGCCCUGCUUUUGUGGGGUGCUCGAGUGGCGAACGGGUGAGUAACACGUGAGUAACCUGCCCUUGACUUUGGGAUAACUUCAGGAAACUGGGGCUAAUACCGGAUAGGAGCUCCUGCUGCAUGGUGGGGGUUGGAAAGUUUCGGCGGUUGGGGAUGGACUCGCGGCUUAUCAGCUUGUUGGUGGGGUAGUGGCUUACCAAGGCUUUGACGGGUAGCCGGCCUGAGAGGGUGACCGGCCACAUUGGGACUGAGAUACGGCCCAGACUCCUACGGGAGGCAGCAGUGGGGAAUAUUGCACAAUGGGCGGAAGCCUGAUGCAGCAACGCCGCGUGCGGGAUGACGGCCUUCGGGUUGUAAACCGCUUUCGCCUGUGACGAAGCGUGAGUGACGGUAAUGGGUAAAGAAGCACCGGCUAACUACGUG